CACCAGAGGACCUCCUUCUCUUGAAUCUUGCUGUGACACUCCAUGGAUCAGCCAUCUCAAUCCCCCCAAAGCUUCGUAAACCCUUGCUCUGGUAUAACCACCAAAUACAUCCCCACCUUCCUACACCCGAAGGUUGCAGUCGCUUCUUUAUUUUUUCUUGACCAUUACCUCUUGGGUGAACUCUUCUCAUCUACCAAACUGCCCCCAUACUGCUAUUCUCUUCAGAGAUCUCUAUCGUCUAACUGCCAUACACCCAGGUCUUUCCACCAAGAUCACCUCCAAUCAA
rnacentral:lncRNA from 1 species